rnacentral:lncRNA from 1 species
AAGAGAUGGGGAGUGGACAGGGUCAGGAAAAACUUCAUGUAAGAGAUGCCACUUGGGUUACAGCUCUGAAGGAAGUUAGGGAUUCUUCAAGGUAGAAUUGAGGAGCAAAUGUUCUAGCCAAUUGGGAACAAUUUGAUUAUACCUUAAAGCAGUAGUGUCCAUUCCAACUCAAAGAGAAAGCAGGUCCCCAGCAUAGCAAAUUGACUUAGAAAGUCACAAAAUAGCAUUAUCUAAGUUAUAUUCUAUUUUUAUUCAUUUUACAAAGCAUUUCCCAAUUCUACUUUAAUCUGGUUUCACCAACGUGCCCCAUGUGGCCUGUGGGCUGGAGUUUGACAUCUCUGCUAUAAAAUGUAUGACGAUGAGUAAUAGUUAAUCAACCUGGAAAGUUCAUCUAGAAUUAGAUUAUGAAAGGCUUUAAAGGCCAAGCAGAGAGGUUGAUAUUUUUAGAGGCAAUAUGAAACCACCAAAGCCUUUUGAUGCAGAGAGUGACAUGGUCAGACCUGAGCUUUAGGAGUAUUAAUUUGGCAUUUUUAAAAAAGAAAAAUUAUAAAGGAUUGUUUACAUUAUAAAAUGACUUUUUGAGGCACUAUUUUAAAGUUGGUUUGGAAGGAUUCUUGGAGCUUUUGCACUGCUACUAAGCUGCCCAUAAAGUGACUUUUUGAUGCAUACAUAGAAUCAUCCUUUAUAGUUUUUAAAAAUAGGAAACAGAAACAAUAAUUACUGCUUUAAGUCAGUUGCACCAACAUUAUUUUUCCUAGUUUUGUAGCUGCCUUAUAUCUCCUCUCAGGCCUGUUCCUGCCUUUGGGACUCCAAAACCAUUGUUGUGCCAUAGACUCAUCUUGGAAUUUCCCUCAGAGUCUGAGAUCUUCUUACCCUGGAACAUCCAACUGCCCUUGUGGCUUUUUCAACCUGAAAUGUCCCUUUGUAGACUUACCCGCUUCUCCCAUUGUGACCCCACCAUAGAGCCUCGCAUGUCACCUGGACCACCUCCGCCCUCGUCCCUGCUGGGAGAAGACAUCAGAGGGAAUUUUUUUUCCCCCAUGCAACAACAAACAAGACAAAAACUCUCGGUUUCUCCUUCAUAGUAAGCACUUUGUGUUUGACCUACCUUCAAUCCCCUGGCUAGGCUCCAGUCCUCUGGUCCUGUUUUGUAUACAAAGGGCCAUAAUAAUACAUAGGAAAUCAUAGGCCAAUUUUUUUCCACCCACAUUUGAUUUUUUUUUUCAUGGCACAUCUGUUAGUUCCUGGGUAAUCAAUCCCUAGUUUAGACUUUGUUUAAAAGGAGUGAG